GCCGCCGCCCCGCCCGCCCGGCCCGCGCAGGCCGCCGCCGCCGCCAUGGCCGCGCUGCACGCCAAGGCCGGCGGCCCCCCGCAGAUCCCCGACACCCGCCGGGAGCUGGCCGAGCUGGUGAAGCGCAAGCAGGAGCUGGCGGAGACGCUGGCCAACCUGGAGCGGCAGAUCUACGCCUUCGAGGGCAGCUACCUGGAGGACACGCAGAUGUACGGGAACAUCAUCCGCGGCUGGGACCGCUACCUCACCAACCAGAAGAACUCCAACAGCAAAAACGACCGGAGGAACCGCAAGUUCAAGGAGGCGGAGCGGCUCUUCAGCAAGUCCUCGGUCACCUCGGCAGCGGCGGUCAGCGCAUUAGCUGGAGUUCAGGACCAGCUCAUUGAGAAGCGGGAGCCGGGCAGCGGCACGGAAAGCGACACUUCUCCAGACUUUCACAAUCAGGAGAAUGAACCCAACCAGGAGGAUGCUGAAGAGCUGGAUGGGUCUGUGCAGGGGGUGAAACCUCAGAAAGCUGCUUCUUCUACUUCUUCUGGGAGCCACCACAGCAGCCACAAAAAACGGAAGAACAAAAAUCGACACAGCCCGUCUGGCAUGUUUGAUUAUGACUUUGAGUAUGUAUAUUAGGUUAGGCUGGGAAGUUUUUUUUAAAAACAGAAAAGCGUGAUGGAGGAUUGAUCUCAAGUUAAACAAAAAGCCAAGAGCCGACUACUAGACUCAUCAGUGCUGAUGCUUCUGGGAUUUAGGUCUGCGUGAAUCCCCACUGAGAAAAUGCCAGUCGACUGAAUGAGCACGAUGGCAGCUCUCUGGCCAAGUGUCUGCAGAUGGGAGUGACUCACUCUAAAGAACUUAGAUGGGGGGAGAAAAUCUUGGACCAUGUACUUUGCAUCAUUUUUAAAUCACCUGAGUUGCAGGAAGACUAAGGUGUAGUAGUAGUAGUAGUAGUCCCGAAUUCCUGACUAUUCUGUGCUUCCACCUCAGUUGGGAACUUCCUAGAAUUGGCUGAUGUUGCUGCUGCCACCCCUGUCAUCUGCAAACCCAUGGAGAGGUAUUUCUUUUUCCACUGGAACUGGGCUAUGAUUCAGUAUGUCCCAUCCAUGUUGUAAGACUUACUUAGAUUACUUUUGUUGCUGAUACUUCUUAGCUUCGUAGUUUUGUUUUUGUUGGUUCUGUUGUGUGGGUAUUUUUUUAAAGCAAAGUGUAUAGUUAACAACUGGACUUUUGGUUUCUUUGGUUUAAUCCACGUAGAGUGGCAGGUUCUUCAGUUUGUGGAACAGCUCGUUUGGAUUCUUUGUCAGGCAGAGAAGGUGGUGGUUAACCCUUUUCUCUUCAGUUUCAUUUUAAACACCAUCUCCUAAAAUCUACGCAGUGCUUUUAGGUGCAGGGAAGGCUGGAGCUCGAAGCCAUCUUGCUCUUUGCUAUCUUUGAGAUUGGGUGGAUUCUCUUUUUAAUACAAACUUAUGUCAUUUGUACAUAAACAAUAAAAGUUACAUGUUUGUCUCUCUUCUCA